UGACCGAUAGUGAACCAGUACCGUGAGGGAAAGGUGAAAAGCACCCCGGAAGGGGAGUGAAAUAGAUCCUGAAACCGUGUGCCUACAAGUAGUUAGAGCCCWUUUAUGGGUGAUAGCGUGCCUUUUGUAGAAUGAACCGGCGAGUUACGAUUACAUGCGAGGUUAAGUUGAAGAGACGGAGCCGCAGCGAAAGCGAGUCUGAAUAGGGCGAAAUAGUAUGUKGUUGUAGACCCGAAACCAGGUGAUCUACCCAUGUCCAGGGUGAAGUCYAGGUAACACUGGAUGGAGGCCCGAACCCACGCACGUUGAAAAGUGCGGGGAUGAGGUGUGGGUAGCGGAGAAAUUCCAAUCGAACUUGGAGAUAGCUGGUUCUCUCCGAAAUAGCUUUAGGGCUAGCCUCAAGAUUUAGAGUAUUGGAGGUAGAGCACUGUUUGGACUAGGGGCCCCCAUCGGGUUACCGAAUUCAGACAAACUCCGAAUGCCAAAUACUUAUUCUUGGGAGUCAGACUACGAGUGAUAAGAUCCGUGGUCAAGAGGGAAACAGCCCAGACCACCAGCUAAGGUCCCAAAGUAUACGUUAAGUGGAAAAGGAUGUGGAGUUGCUUAGAC
rnacentral:rRNA from 1 species